rnacentral:lncRNA from 1 species
UGUCUUCCUGGUACUACACAUGAAGAUGUCCCGCUCUCCCCUGCUCAAGGAGAGAGUGCCUGACCUGAGCUGGGCCCAUCAGAUCCAGUACUUACCUGGAAUACGAAAAAGAUGGAGAGAGUGACCAAAGAUUACAAAAAUCUCUGAAGCUUAUCUACUUGAGAGAGAGUCCCUGAAGAUACUGGCCUCUCAUUCCUGCUAUGUAUAUCCAAUGUGACUGAACUCUGAAUAAAAUAUACAAGUUAUAACAAUGUAGCAAUUGACCCAGCAAACGAGGACACAAACGUGUUGGAGGGAUUUGAGUUUGAUGUCUUGCAUACAAUGUGAUCCCACUGUAUGACUACACAAAUGUUGGCAAAAGUGAGUUCAGAGGAAAUGGUAGGCAAGUACUUCCCAGUUUUGGCCAGAAGAUGGAGAAAAAAGAAUUCUCAAAAAAUGUUAAAGGAUUUCCUUUUUAUCACUGGUUUUGAUGGAUUUGAUUAAGGCGUUCCUUGGUGAAGUUUUCUUCAUGUUUCUUGUUCUUAGAAUAAUCAUAUUUCUGUAAUAUUUGAAGUUUAUGGUUUCCAUGGAGCUUCUAAAUCUUUCAUCCAGUAUGUUUUAAAUAUCUUUGUCUCUCUUCUCCACUACACGCCCUUCAGGGAUUCCAUUUAGCCCUA